rnacentral:lncRNA from 1 species
GGACAGCCCACCAGGGUCUGCUUCUGUGAGGGGCCGAGGCGUCAUUCCGCGAAGCCUUCUCCUUGCUGUUGCCAUGUGAAGAAGGAUGUGUUUGCUUCCCCUUCUGCCAUGAUUGUAAGUUUUCUGAAGCCUCUCCAGCCAUGCCAAACUCAUUUUGCACAGAGCUUGGCAGUUACAUAGUAGAUGUUGAACAAUUUCUUCUGUGUUUCAGCUGUCAAACUGUUCUGAAUGUGUGAGGCUCUUCAUUCGAUGUACAAAAACCACAAGAUUAUCUAAAUAGAUGCAGAAAAGGCCUUCGAUAAAAAUCCUCAUUCCUUCAUGUUAAAAACUCUCAAUAAACUAGGUAUUGAAGGAACAUACCUCAAAAUAAUAAGAGCCAUUUAUGACAAACUCACAGCCAGUGUCCUUACUGAAUGGGCAAAAGCUGAAAGCAUUCCCCUUGAAAACCAGCACAAGACAAGUUUGCCCUCUCUCCCAACCCCUAUUCAAUAUAGUAUUGGAAGUUAUGGCCACGGCAAUCGGGCAAGAGAAAAAAAUGAAGAGUAUUUAAAUGGGAAAAGAGGAAGUCAAACUAUCUUUUUUUGCAGGUGACAUAAUCCUAU